rnacentral:rRNA from 1 species
ACAUGCAGCCAUAUCACCCUGCAGCUCACAGCUGGCAGCCCACUGAAGCUCAGCAGGUGUGAGCCUGGUCAGUACCUGGAGGGGAGACCUCCUGGGAAAAACUAAGGUUGCUGCUGGAA